rnacentral:rRNA from 1 species
CCUACGGGUGACAGCAGUGGGGGAUAUUGCACAAUGGGGGGAACCCUGAUGCAGCGACGCCGCGUGGGUGAAGAAGCGCCUCGGCGCGUAAAGCCCUGUCAGCAGGGAAGAAAAUGACGGUACCUGAAGAAGAAGCCCCGGCUAACUACGUGCCAGCAGCCGCGGUAAUACGUAGGGGGCAAGUGUUAUCCGGAUUUACUGGGUGUAAAGGGGGCGCAGACGGCGAUGCAAGCCAGGAGUGAAAGCCCGGGGCCCAACCCCGGGACUGCUUUUGAAACUGAGUGGCUAGAGUGCAGGAGGGGCAAGCGGAAUUCCUGGUGUAGCGGUGAAAUGCGUAGAUAUCAGGAGGAACACCAGUGGCGAAGGCGGCCUGCUGGACUGCAACUGACGUUGAGGCCCGAAAGCGUGGGGAGCAAACAGGAUUAGAUACCCCGGUAGUC